UACAGAGGUCCCGAGCGUUGUUCGGAUUCAUUGGGCGUAAAGGGUGCGUAGGUGGCGCCGUAAGUCGGGUGUGAAAUUUCGGAGCUUAACUCCGAAACUGCAUUCGAUACUGCGGUGCUUGAGGACUGGAGAGGAGACUGGAAUUCAUGGUGUAGCAGUGAAAUGCGUAGAGAUCAUGAGGAAGACCAGUGGCGAAGGCGGGUCUCUGGACAGUUCCUGACACUGAGGCACGAAGGCCAGGGGAGCAAACGGG
rnacentral:rRNA from 1 species